UACGGGGGGGGCAAGCGUUGUUCGGAAUUACUGGGCGUAAAGGGCUCGUAGGCGGCCAACUAAGUCGGACGUGAAAUCCCUCGGCUUAACCGGGGAACGGCGUCCGAUACUGGAUGGCUUGAGUUUGGGAGAGGGAUGCGGAAUUCCAGGUGUAGCGGUGAAAUGCGUAGAUAUCAGGAGGAACACCGAUGGCGAAGGCAGGUCUCUGGGCCAUAACUGACGCUGAGAAGCGAAAGCAUGGGGAGCGAACAGG
rnacentral:rRNA from 1 species